UGAAAUUAGGUUUGAAACAAUUACGAAAUGAAGGUUAUACGAUUAGUAUGUAUAUUGUAUUAUCAAUUUGGGAAUCAAAUGAUCUAUACAUAUUAACCACUAAAAUUUGUGAAGGCUAGAACGAAUGUUUUAUCUCGAAAUCUCAGAACAUGAUUAAUGAGAUGUUCUUAGAGUGGAGUUUUUACGGGAAUAUAAAAAACUGUUUCUUAACUUUUUUUUCUUAACUUUUAACUAAAAAAAAGCUAAGAACCGGCUCUUAAAUAUCUUAUUUAAGAGCUGGUUCUUAGCUUUUUAGGUUAAUAGUUAAAGAAAUAGUUUAUUAUAUUCCGCUAAAAACCCCACUCUAAGAACCUCCAUUAAUCAUGCUCUCAGGACCGGCUCUGUUUAUUAGUUACAAACUUUGAAUUUUUGGGGUUUCUUAUAACGCAAGUUACAUCUUUAAUGUGAUUAUUUGGUUUUGAUUUUUGCUAAACUUAGUUCUACGCAUGAUUCUUGGCUUUUUUUUGAUGAAGCUGGUAAGCUGGAGAACAACAAAAUACCUUGGAGAGGAGAUUCAGGUCUUAAAGAUGGAAGUGAAGCGAGUCUUGACCUUUCCAAAGGUUUAUACGAUGCUGGAGAUCACAUGAAGUUUGGCUUCCCUAUGGCUUUCACUGCCACUCUUCUCUCCUGGUCCAUUCUCGAGUACGGCGACCACAUGGACUCCCUCGACCAACUUGAUCCUGCUAAAGACUCUCUAAAGUGGACCACCGAUUUCCUCAUCAAUGCCCAUCCUUCUCCAAACGUCCUCUACAUUCAGGUACAAUGAUCAAGAUGAUGAAUCUUUCAUAACUUGUCACGUUUCAAAACCAUUAGAAUACUCAUUUUCAAGAUCGGAUUUGGACAUAUCCCAGUGAAACAUAGGAUUUGGGUCUUAAAUUUUUUUGGAGGUUAUAUAUAUAGUUAUAGAAAUUAUAUUGAAAAAAAUUGUUAGUUUUUAAUAAAAAUAUUUAUGGCCUCUAAAAUCAUAGAUCCGGCCAUUUUCAUAUUAUUCAUUUUUUAUUAAGGUGGGAGAUCCGGAGACUGAUCAUAAAUGUUGGGAUAGGCCAGAAACAAUGUCAAGAAAGAGAACUCUCACCAAGAUUGAUGCAGAUACUCCAGGGACUGAGGUUGCUGCAGAAACAGCAGCAGCCAUGGCUGCAGCAUCUCUAGUCUUUAAAGAAAGUGAUACCAAAUAUUCAGGCACGCUUCUCAAACACGCCAAGCAGUUGUUCGAUUUCGCCGAUAACAACAGGGCAUCUUACAGUGUCAACAUACCUGAGGUUCAGAGUUAUUACAACUCCACAGGCUACGGAGAUGAGCUUCUUUGGGCAGCUUCAUGGUUGUACCAUGCGACAGAGGACAAAACAUACCUCGACUUUGUGUCUAAAAAUGGAGAUGAGUUUGGAAAUUUUGGAAGUCCGACAUGGUUUAGUUGGGACAACAAGCUUCCAGGAACACACGUAUUAGAGAUAAUGCACUUUCUUAUAAAUCAUUAUGUUCUUACAUAACAUUUACUGAUUUAUAUAUACCGUUGCAGGUACUAUUAUCAAGAUUAACCUUCUUCAAAAAGGGCCUAUCAGGAAGCAAAGGACUUGAAGGUUAUAAAGAAACAGCAGAAGCUGUCAUGUGUGGGCUCAUACCAGACUCUCCAACAGCUACAUCUAGUAGAACUGAUGGUAUAAUCUCUCUUACAUCUCUCAUUAUAUCAUACUUUCACUCAUGAUGUAGAAUUUCAUAUAAUUCUCUGAAUAUUUGUUGAUUUUUUUUUUCAAGGUGGUCUUAUAUGGGUUGCUGAAUGGAAUGCACUGCAACAUCCUGUGUCCUCAGCAUUUUUAGCCACACUUUACAGUGACUACAUGCUCACAUCCGGUGUUGAUAAACUAUCUUGUGGUGACACAUCCUUUAAACCAUCAGAUCUCAGAAAAUUCGCCAGAUCCCAGGUUCUUUAUAAUAUUCCAUUAAGCUAAACUCAUAACCUCUUAGAUAUACUAUAUAGUUUCAUAUUUACACAUUGCAGGCUGAUUACAUGCUAGGGAAGAAUCCAGAGACAAUGAGCUAUUUGGUGGGUUAUGGUGAUAAAUAUCCAGAGUUUGUGCAUCAUCGAGGAGCUUCGAUACCAGGUGAUGCAAACACAGGAUGUAAAGAUGGAUUCAAGUGGCUUAACUCGGAGGAACCGAACCCUAACGUGGCUUAUGGUGCACUUGUUGGUGGACCGUUUCUGAACGAGACGUUUAUUGAUGCGAGGAACAAUUCAAUGCAGAAUGAGCCGAGUACUUAUAACAGUGCGCUUGUGGUUGGUCUUUUGUCUAGUUUGGUUACUAGAUCUUCAUCGGUAGAAUCUUUUAAAUGAGAUCUUUAUUGAAGUUGUUUUAAUUAGAAUCACAUUAAGACAUCUUAUUUGUUUUAUUCUAUCUAUGUAUGUAUAUGUACGAACAUGGUUGAAUAAUGUAUGUGGUUUUGUAUAGCAUAUGGUAUAAUGGUAAAUGUCUCCUGUUUGUUCACUGUUCUUCUUCUUCGGAACAUGUUCUACCAGACUAAAAAAGGGAAAGCAAAAAAAAAACUCCGUUGCGGGGACUCGAACCCGGGUCUCUCGGGUGAGAGCCGAGUAUCCUGACCAGCUAGACUACAACGGAUAGGUGAACAUUGGGUGCGUUUCUACCAUCAUCAAUAUAAUCGAUGAAUUGACAUCAAAGAAAAUGUCAAGCAUACACAAUCAGUUUUUUUUCAUAUCAAUAGAUGAAUGAUCAAAACAAUAAGCCAUGGUUUCAGUCUAAAUUCUAAAAGAAUAAAAUCACUGAAUCAUCAUAUUUAUUACUUAUUGGUGUGUUUCUUACAGUGUGCAAAUUAAAAAAAAAUAUUUAGAACCAAAUUCAAAUGAUAUGUCUGCUUGUUUUUUCAUGAGAAAAGCAAAAAACUCACAGUGCCACAAAAAAAAGAAGUGAAAUAUAUAAAAAACAUGACAAGGGUUUCGCACAUAACGAAAAGACUUUAUGACUUCACUCGGCUCUAGACUGACCAGCACGAGAAGAGAGGAUGAUACCAACAAUGAGACCGUACAGCGCAAGUGCUUCAGCAAAGAUGAGAAUCAGAAUCAUUCCCACAAACAGCUUUGGCUGUUGUGCAUUCGCUCUGCAACACACAAAGACCAAACAUAAAAGUAAAAAAAAAGAUUCAACCUUUUAAGCUCUAAACAACAUCUCUAACACGAAAGAUCCAAUCUUUUUCUGAACUAGUUUGUUUCAAUUACCUAACACCGGCAUCGCCGACGAUGCCAAUAGCCAUACCGGCGGAGAGACCGGCGAGACCACAAGCGAGACCGGAAGAGAGAUGAGCGUAGCCGUCGAAGAGAUAGUAAGACUUGGCCUUUGGGUUGAUUCCAGUACUGAUGAUGACAGCAAUGAUGAGACCGUAGAUACCUAACACACCAGCCAUAACGACCGGAACAAUCGAUUUCAUUACAAGCUCUGGUCUCAUCACACCCAUCGACGCCACACCGACCCCGCUCUUUGCUGUCCCGUACGCUGCUCCCAUACCUGACAAAAAACGGAUGAGAUCAAAAACCCAAACCGUGGAUUCAUUCAAUUAGAGAUGUGCUGAAAGAAGGAUUUGGUGUUACAGGAGAAAACGAGAGCGGCGGCGGCGCCGAGGAAUCCGAAGAAGGGAGCAGUUUCAUCGCCGCUGAAACCUGAAGCCAUCGCUCGUCGUGAAUUGUGCGUCUCUUCAUUUAUUUAUUUUAUUUUUAAUUUCAUUCGUGAAAUUAGGUUUGAAACAAUUACGAAAUGAAGGUUAUACGAUUAGUAUGUAUAUUGUAUUAUCAAUUUGGGAAUCAAAUGAUCUAUACAUAUUAACCACUAAAAUUUGUGAAGGCUAGAACGAAUGUUUUAUCUCGAAAUCUCAGAACAUGAUUAAUGAGAUGUUCUUAGAGUGGAGUUUUUACGGGAAUAUAAAAAACUGUUUCUUAACUUUUUUUUCUUAACUUUUAACUAAAAAAAAGCUAAGAACCGGCUCUUAAAUAUCUUAUUUAAGAGCUGGUUCUUAGCUUUUUAGGUUAAUAGUUAAAGAAAUAGUUUAUUAUAUUCCGCUAAAAACCCCACUCUAAGAACCUCCAUUAAUCAUGCUCUCAGGACCGGCUCUGUUUAUUAGUUACAAACUUUGAAUUUUUGGGGUUUCUUAUAACGCAAGUUACAUCUUUAAUGUGAUUAUUUGGUUUUGAUUUUUGCUAAACUUAGUUCUACGCAUGAUUCUUGGCUUUUUUUUGAUGAAGCUGGUAAGCUGGAGAACAACAAAAUACCUUGGAGAGGAGAUUCAGGUCUUAAAGAUGGAAGUGAAGCGAGUCUUGACCUUUCCAAAGGUUUAUACGAUGCUGGAGAUCACAUGAAGUUUGGCUUCCCUAUGGCUUUCACUGCCACUCUUCU
rnacentral:lncRNA from 1 species